GACGAACGCUGGCGGCGUGCUUAACACAUGCAAGUCGAACGGAAAGGCCCUGCUUUUGUGGGGUGCUCGAGUGGCGAACGGGUGAGUAACACGUGAGUAACCUGCCCUUGACUUUGGGGUAACUUCAGGAAACUGGGGCUAAUACCGGAUAGGAGCUCCUGCUGCAUGGUGGGGGUUGGAAAGUUUCGGCGGUUGGGGAUGGACUCGCGGCUUAUCAGCUUGUUGGUGGGGUAGUGGCUUACCAAGGCUUUGACGGGUAGCCGGCCUGAGAGGGUGACCGGCCACAUUGGGACUGAGAUACGGCCCAGACUCCUACGGGAGGCAGCAGUGGGGAAUAUUGCACAAUGGGCGGAAGCCUGAUGCAGCAACGCCGCGUGCGGGAUGACGGCCUUCGGGUUGUAAACCGCUUUCGCCUGUGACGAAGCGUGGGUGACGGUAAUGGGUAAAGAAGCACCGGCUAACUACGUG
rnacentral:rRNA from 1 species